rnacentral:RNase_P_RNA from 2 species
GGAGGGAAGCUCACUGGUGGGGCUACGAGCUGAGUGUAUCACGUCACUCCACCCCAUGUCCCCUGGGAAGGUCUGAGACUAGGGCCAGCAGUGGUCCUAACAGGGUCCUCCCUGAGUGCAGGGAGGUGAGUUCCCAGACAAUGGGGUUCCAUGCGAGGCAGACUGGGCAGGAGAAAUCAGCCCCCAGAAGGGAUGGCCACACUGCAAUCCUUUCAUCUCUUAUUUUCUUUCUGGGAUUUUUGAGCAUGCACACACACAUGCCAGGUGUGAUUUUUCAUGCUUCCAGGUCUGAGACUAGAACAAUGGUCAGCCAUGUGGUUAGUGCUUUAACCACUACUCCACCCACU